UACGGAGGGUGCGAGCGUUGUCCGGAAUCACUGGGCGUAAAGGGCGCGUAGGUGGCGGCAUAAGGCCGCGGUGAAAGUUCGGGGCUCAACCCUGAAUCGGCCGCGGCGACUGUGUUGCUAGGGCACCGUAGAGGCAGAUGGAAUUCCGGGUGUAGCGGUGGAAUGCGUAGAGAUCCGGAAGAACACCAGUGGCGAAGGCGGAGACCUGGGCCGAUACUGACGCUGAGGUGCGAAAGCGAU
rnacentral:rRNA from 1 species